rnacentral:lncRNA from 1 species
GGAAUAUUUCUGUGAUGACAACUGAACAAGUCAUUGAUAUAAAAGUAUAGCAAAAAUAUUGUUAGGAGUCAUUUUAUUGCUAUGUUCUUUUAGAACAGUAGUAUUGGUUUUCUUCUAGGUCCUUGGCCUAUAUAGUCUCAGGUUCUUGACCACCCAACAACAUUGAGUUCCAUCUCUUGGAAUUGCACUUAAUUCAAAUCAGAUAUUGGUUAGUUACUUCCACAAUCUUUGUGCUCCUAUUGCACCAAUGUAUUAUUCUGGCACUAGUUACCAUUGUAUAACAAAGGGUUGUAGUUGGGUUGGUAUUUACCAUUCUCCUUUGGUACCAUGCAGGGUACAGUUCAGUACCAUGAAUACUAGUCAUCAUUGGUGAGAGGUCUAGAUAGGCACAAACUCAACUCCCUCAUAUUCAAUAAGCAGGAUGGCUGCUGUAUUCGGUAAUAGGGACUUCCCUACAGUUAGUGAAGAGACACCAAUAGCCUUGACAAUAGCCUGGUUUGUUUUGACAUUCUCAUGAGACCCCUUUGGCCAAGAAUUCAAUUAUAUAUAACUUAUUCCUGGUACUAGAUGCUUCCUUUGGUGACGAGAUAUGCUUAAUUGCAGCUUUGUCUCCCCCAUUCUUUGACAAUUUUAUUUAGGUCACCUUCAUAUAUGUGUAUAUUAUAGGAUGCUUCUACCAUAUUAGGUUUGUAUACAACCCCUCAAAUGGCCCUUAGUUUUAGCUGUCUCUCCUAGUAUUCCCUCUCAUACUCUUUUCUCUAUCUCUACUCCUUUCUCAUACUUCUAUUCAAGUUCUCUUCACAUCUAUCCAUAACUACCAAUUCUAUUUCCCCUUCCUAAGGAAAUCCCUCCCUCCAGCCUUAGUCCUUUGAUCUCUACUUAACCAUAUGUUUUUAUUACAAUAGCUUCACAGUACUAUUUGAGACCCUAGCUGGUGGAUACCUUCAGGAGUUUUUUAAGUUAAUCAGAAUAUUAGUAAUUAAUACCAUUAUAUUAUAUUUUAAUUUUAUUUUUAGCAUUCAAGAAUGUUUUUACUAUCCUGCUUUUUUCUGUGUUCAAUAUGAAGCUGAAAACUAUCCUUUUAAGGUCUGUAAAGAAUUGGAUUGGAAUUUUUAUGGGGGUUGAAUUGAAUAUAUUUUGGUAGAAUGACCAUUUUUUCUAUACGAAUCCUACAGAUCUAUGAGCAUGGGGGAUCUUUCCAUCUUCUGAUAUAUUUUUUAAAUUUUUUUCUUCAACAUCUACACGUUUUUUAUAAUACAAGUGUUUCACUUGCUUAUUAGAGUUACUCCAAGAUACUUUAUAUUUUUGAGUCUCUUGUGCAAAGUGUUGUUUCCCUAAUUUCUUCCUCAGUCCAUUUGUCAUGUGUAUAUAGGAAAGAUACUGAUUUUCUUGAGUUAAUUUUGUAUCCUGCUACGUUGCAGAAAGUGUUUAUUAGCUGUAGGAGUUUCCCAGCAGCAUUUUUAGUGUCACCACGUACACUACCAUACCAGCUUCAGAUAAAGAUACUUUGACUUCUCUUCCAAUGUGUAUACCCUUGAGCUGCCUUAUUGCUCUAGCUCUGUACUAUAAUGAAAUAGAUAUGGAGAUAGUAGACAACAUUGUCUUGUUCCUGAUUUUAGCGAACAUGCGUUGAAUUGAUGUUUCUAUGUGCUUUCUGUAAACUGCCAUUAAUAUGUCAAGGUAUUUUCCUUGUAUUCCUAGUCUUUCCAGGACUUUAACAUGAAGGAGUAUUAGAUAAUGUCACAGGCAUUUCCUAACUUUAAUAAGAUGAUCAUGUGUUUUUUGUCAUUUGAUCUGUUCAUAUGGUGGAUUAUAUUCAUUGAUUUAUGGAUAUUGAACCAUCCCUACACCUCUGGGAUGAUGCCUACUGGAAAAUGGAGACUGACAUUUUUGAUGUGUUCAUGGAUUUGGUUUGCAACUAUUUUAUUGAGAAGUUUUGCACCUGUGUUCAUAAGGGAAAUUGGUCUUUAAUUCUCUUUCUUUGUUGGGUCUUUACAUGGUUUAGGUAUCAGGGUAACUGUGACUGUAUAUAAAAGAAAAGAACUGGACAGUGUUCCUUCUAUUUAUGUUCUGUGAAAUAAUUUGAGGAGUAUUGACCUUAACGCUUCUUUGGAAGUCUUGACUAAAGCCAUCUGGCCCUGGAUUGUUUGUUUAGUUUUUUUUGGGGGGGAGAUUUUUAAUUACUUCUUAUAUUUGAAGAACAGUUAGAGUUCUGUUGAAAUUGAUUACAUGAUCUUGCUUUAACUUUGGUAGGUGGUAUAUGUUGGAAAACUAUCCAUUUCUUUUACAUUUUCCAAUUUGAGUACAGGUUCCUAAAGGAUGUGUUUGUAUUUCUUUUGUGUCUGCUGUUCUCCCCCUUUGUCACUAAUUAUGUUAAUUUGGAUAUUCUUUCUCUGCAUUUUGUUUUAUUUGCUCAUUGAUUGUCAAUCUUACUGGUUUUCAAAAAGGACCAACUUGUCAUUUCAUUAAUUUUUUAAUAUUUUUGUUGUUGUUUGUUUCUACUAUAUUGAUUUCAGCCCUGAUUAUGAUUAUUUCUUGGCAUCUAUUCCUAUUCAGUGUUAAUUUCUUCUUCUUAUUCUGACACUUUCAAGCAUGUUCUUAAGUUGGUAAUUGUGAGAUCUCUUUAAAAAUUUUUUUUUUAUGUAGGCACUAUUUUAGUACUAUGAACUUGCCUUUUAGAAUAAAGUUUAUUGAAUCCCAUACAUUUAAAUAAAAUAUCC